CCGCGCCUGAGCCGCCCUGGCCUCCCAGCGGCCCCGUGAGGCAAAGCUCCGCUCCCUCGCACCCUAAGUCGCCCGCGACCCCAAGUGCGGAGGUCCCAGGCCGAAGCUCCGAAGGGGAGAGCGGGCGAAAGGCAGGAGCCGAGACCGGACAGCGAGGUCUUGGAGAAGUCGGCCCUUGGCCCUCUCCGUGGGCGUCGCUCCAGGCCUCUCCUGGGGCAGGGGUCUCUCCGUGCGUGGCCCUUCCAAUCCUGGUUCCGAGUUCAGGUGUCCUCGGGCGCCGCGCGGACGGCGAGUCCGUGGAGUCGGUGCUGAGGAGAAGCCUCUGUGAGCGCGAGGGUGACAGGAGUGCGACCUCUGCGCUGGCACCAGGCUGACAGGGCGCUCACUCCCCACCCGUCCGAGGACGAGGACGGCCGGACUCAAUCACCAUCCCGCGCUUCUCCGGAAAGCGUCUUCUGGCCAGCCUGGAGCUUCACCUUAAGAAAAGGGGGGAACAGGCCCAGAGCCCGGAAGGGAUGAGCAAGGUCACACUGCGUCAGAGACAGGCGCUGAGGAAGGGAGUAUAAAAGCAAAGCCUGAGAUAGGAAUUUAUGUGAAGAUGGUUCAUUUUGAGCAAUGAUCCCAGGAAAAGGAGUGAGGGGCUCAGAAGAGUGAAUAGGAAAGAAGGGGAGAGACAGUGUCACAGGUAGAAAGAUUGGCAUGUAUAACGGCUCGUCUGGGAGAGAGAGUAAAAGCAGGCUCCUGGGGUUGGAGCAUCAUUAGUGAGGAGACAAUGGAAGAGAAGUCAGAGAAGAAGCAGGGACCAGAACUGCAGGCCUUGUAGGCCCAGGGAGGUAGGUGGGAGGAGGCCCUGGAAGCAUGGAAGGAGUUGGAUCUUCAGCCCCCUUGGUAAGGACACUCCCACAUAUCAUCAGUAUCUGUAGACCUGCCCUUGAGGUACCUGUUGGGCAAGCUGUGGCCUGUGUUUCCUCAGCCCUGGAGAUCUCCCUAGAUCCCACUCAAACCCAGGCUCAGGCAUCCUGGCUCCUUGGGUCUGAGCUGCUGCUACAUGACUUUGGGGGACAAGGGGGGUUCUUUCUGGCAAACCCUCUCCCAGCCUGGCUACUUGCCUGCCUGCCAGGGACCUACAUCCCUGUCAGCUCCAAACAAGGCCGCUGCUGCUGCUGCCACUGUGACGUGUGGAGGCCUUUCCUCCGCGGGCAGGCAGCCGCGUGGGCAACAGAUGUCUCUGCUCCCUGCCGCCUGUGGCCGUCAGCCGCCGCCACUGAGCCUGUCAGCGGCCUCACGCCUAGGGUGCCUGGCCUGCUGGCUGGCCUAGCACCCCCACCAGCCCGCUUUGGCGGACACACAGCAAGACACACAUGGAGACAGACACAGAGGCGUGCGCGCGCGCGCGCGCACACACACACACACACACACACACACACACACACACAGCAGUGUGCCUCAGGGAAGUGGGAGAUGAAAGGCUCCCGGAUGUGUUAAAGGCCCACCUCACUCAGCCCCAGGAACCUGGUGGCCGUGGGGUAAGGGCAGAUGUGGGAAGCCUCCCAGGACAGCUGGGCCUGCCUGUCACCCUGGCCCCCAGAAAAGGGAUUCCACAAUUCUAUGCUCCACCGGGUGCCCACCCCCUCCUAGGAAGUGGAAAGAAGUCUCUGAAAGCCCAGCCAGCUUAGUCCAGCCUCCGCGGAGAGAGGUGGCAGUAAGGUGGGGGAAAGUGGUUCUCAGUUUUCCUGACACAGGCCCCCAAAGAUCAGAGCAGCCUGUGUGGGGAUAAGGGAUGGCCCUCAAAUGGGCCCAGGGCCCCUCUGCUCUUCCCUCCAGACUGAGAGCCUUCAAUGGCAGGAUCUCUGUUUUGUCCUCUUUUGUCCCUUAGUCUGGGACCCCAAAGGGCAGAGUCUGACUCCCCUUUUUUAGCCCUUCAAACUAAGGGACCCCAAGGCUGGGCCAGGAUCCUGUCUCGCCCGGAUUGGGUACCCCUUCUUCAGGGCCUGAAUCCCUUCCUCUGCUCCUCUUCCCUCCUCAAAUUAGCCACCGCCCAGGAUUGUGCCCCCUCUGCUUUCUCCUCUGUCCUAAGCCUGGGGUAAUGCAUAGCCCUGGAACCUUGAGGAACUGGGCUGAGGCUAUUCUGGCCUCUGACCUUGUGUUGUCUUGUGGGCAGGGGUCUCACAUCCUCACAGUAAGUCUCCCCUUUCCCUUCCCCUGGAAGCCCUGAAUUCCUCCUGGUCACUUCCCCAUAGGACAACUGAGGUCAUAGAUGAGAGUCUGACCAAAACUAGAGUGAGGAAGUGGAUGGCUCUUUCUCUUUUCAUAUCCAGAGAGGACCCCAGACCUCCCUGGGGUCACCCAGCUCUGCUGGCAGGGACUUUUGUUAGAAGGGGGCUCUGAGUCAUUUUGCCCCCAAUCCUGACUGGGUUCAGCCUAAGCAGCGUUUCUGGGCCUCUGUCGAUGGGUCCAGACCCCUGGCCCACGACUGCGGUCCUUCCCUGGCCUUCAGUCACUCCCCCAAAAUGAGACCAGCAGGGAGGCUGGUGUGUGAACAAGGGGGUGGGGAUCCUUCAAGGGACAGGGCAGGCAGGCCCAGCGGGAGAGAGGGGGGGCGGUUGGGGCCCCACACUGCCAUGCCUGGAAGCCUCUAGAGCCUGUGUGUCUCCCUGGCCAUUCCUUGGCCUUCGAACUUCAGGGACGUCGGGGAUCAGGGUCUCGAGUGGACCGCGAGGGCAGGGUCUCAGAUGGAGGACCUUCCCGCCGCCCCGUGGCCAUCAAACUCACCCG